rnacentral:tRNA from 1 species
GCCUGGGUGGCUCAGUUGGUUGAGCGUCUGACUUCAGCUCAGGUCAUGAUCUCACGGUUUGUGAGUUCAAGCCCUGCGUCUGGGCU